rnacentral:rRNA from 1 species
AUGCAGCGACGCCGCGUGAGGGAUGACGGCCUUCGGGUUGUAAACCUCUUUCAGUAGGGAAGAAGCGAAAGUGACGGUACCUGCAGAAGAAGCGCCGGCUAACUACGUGCCAGCAGCCGCGGUAAUACGUAGGGCGCAAGCGUUAUCCGGAAUUAUUGGGCGUAAAGAGCUCGUAGGCGGUUUGUCGCGUCUGCCGUGAAAGUCCGGGGCUCAACUCCGGAUCUGCGGUGGGUACGGGCAGACUAGAGUGAUGUAGGGGAGACUGGAAUUCCUGGUGUAGCGGUGAAAUGCGCAGAUAUCAGGAGGAACACCGAUGGCGAAGGCAGGUCUCUGGGCAUUAACUGACGCUGAGGAGCGAAAGCAUGGGGAGCGAACAGGAUUAGAUACCCUGGUAGUCCAUGCCGUAAACGUUGGGCACUAGGUGUGGGGGACAUUCCACGUUUUCCGCGCCGUAGCUAACGCAUUAAGUGCCCCGCCUGGGGAGUACGGCCGCAAGGCUAAAACUCAAAGGAAUUGACGGGGGCCCGCACAAGCGGCGGAGCAUGCGGAUUAAUUCGAUGCAACGCGAAGAACCUUACCAAGGCUUGACAUGGACUGGAAAUACCUGGAAACAGGUGCCCCGCUUGCGGUCGGUUCACAGGUGGUGCAUGGUUGUCGUCAGCUCGUGUCGUGAGAUGUUGGGUUAAGUCCCGCAACGAGCGCAACCCUCGUUCUAUGUUGCCAGCGCGUGAUGGCGGGGA